GAAAUGCGAUAAGUAGUGUGAAUUGCAGAAUUCAGUGAAUCAUCGAAUCUUUGAACGCACAUUGCGCCCCUUGGUAUUCCAUGGGGCAUGCCUGUUCGAGCGUCAUUUGUACCCUCAAGCUCUGCUUGGUGUUGGGUGUUUGUCCCGUCUCCGCGCGUGGACUCGCCCCAAAGUGAUUGGCAGCCGGCGUACUGGUCCCGGAGCGCAGCACAUGUCGCGCAAACGAGUGCCUUGGUACGGCGGCGUCCAUAAGCCCCUCCCUCACGCUCUUGACCUCGGAUCAGGUAGGGAUACCCGCUGAACUUAAGC
rnacentral:misc_RNA from 1 species